rnacentral:lncRNA from 1 species
CAAGCACCUGGAUAGACAGAGUAUUACCCCUUUCAGAAGGUCUGAUUUUCUUAACUCUACUACGGUAAGAAGAUGCCCUCCAUCAGCAGGCCGUGUCUGCUGGGACCUCUCUGGAGACUUCCUGAACCCUGUGGAUUUACAGUAAGAUGCAGUUUCCUGGGGAGUAAUUCUGGUGGAUACAAAUUCCGGAGUAUUACACCUGGCUUGCCUGGAGAUGUUACAAGUAGCUGGAUGGAUUCUUCAGCCUGGAUGCCCACUGAAAACAAGGACCGAAACUAAGAGGAUUGUAUCUCUACCCUUGACUCAAUGAGAAUGUUUGUUGUCAUCUCUCGGGCUACCUGGAGCUCCCUCUAAAAUUAUACCCUUUAAGCGUUCCAGAAGGAUUUUGAGAUCCUUUCCUAAAUCAAAGGUGGAAUAUUUGGGGAUUUGGAAAAUUGAGAUGUGAAGCGUUGACUUAAGAGAUGCCAAGUAACUCAGCAGAUGUCACACAGACGAUAAAUAGCAAAGAUGGAAGUCUUCAUGCCGGAGGCAAUCCUAUAAGACAGCUGAGUUCUGCAGAGCUGGAGACAGACUUGCUCAGGUGAUAGAUCCAGCCAUGAUACUGACCCUAAGAGAAUGAGACGCUCUGCAGAAGACAGAAGAUUCCUGAAACUGGGAAAGGUGCCUAGAAAUCCUGAUAAGAGUGAAGAAGGAGCUGGCAGAGCAGCCUUCCUCCGCACUAUGAAAGACAUCCAACAGAGAGCAAGUUCCCACCUCACUUCCAGCUUGACUCCUUUUUAUCUCCUAACUGUGGUCUGUGAUGUCUUCAGCAAUGGUAUUAACUAGUUCUGGGUACCUGGAGGCACAGCAGCCAUGUUGAACCUAUGAGGUGAUGAAAAACCAUGCAACUAGAAACCAGAAUGGAAGAAAAGAAGAAGCUGGAUCCUUGACUGAAUUGUCGAUGGGGGAUAGUCCAUCAUCCCAGGGCUAAGACCACCUCCAGAUUUCUUGUUUGGUGAAACAAGUCCUGAUUGUUUACAUUCCCUCGUGUUGAGCUGUCUCUUGCUUGUAGCUGAAAGCAUUUCUAAUAGAUAUUCAGAUUAUCAGCCUUAGCUCCAAGCUAGAAUACUCUAUGGGACCUUAGCUUCUCCAUGAAUUCCUUUGCUCAUCUGUGUAAUGCUCAAUAAAUGUAAAUUGAACCCUGAAUGAGGGACAAUGACACUAUUGAAGUCAUGAUUGUCAAUCUUAUUAACGGACUAACUACUUAACAAAAAGGUUGGAACACUGCCUGACGCACAGUAAGCGGCUGGGGAAAGGGUUUGCCAAAUGGAGUGACAAGAAAACAGUCAUGUUUAUAGGCUUUCUUUUACAUCUUGAUCCAUCUUCAAGCCUCUGUGGUCUUUAAGCAGAACCUUGACCCCUUCAGUACUGGGGCUCCUGGAGCAUGACACGCCCCCUAAACUCUUGUCUCAAAACACCCACUCUAGCAGUUUCUUUUUGACAAAAAAAAAGCCUUCUUAGUGAAUGCUGGCUUGUGAAAAAGAAGGGGCUGUGAUCAUCAAAUCGUGUUAGUAGAUGACCAAAAUACCCAAAGCAAUUCAUGCAAAUAGAUUCAAGUCUCUCUGGGCAAGCCUUCCUGAAGGCUCUAGAAUUUCUGAAGCUCAUUUUUGAAAGGGUCUUUCCAUAUGGUGGCCUUUUUCUUUUUUGCACCUCCUCCCUUCUUUCUCAUCAGAGCUAAAGGGAUGCUCAGACUCUCUGUCCUUUCUGUGUAGUGAGGGACCAGGCUGCUGGGCGAGUGUGAAGGAGCGAGUGUGAUUUGGGAUAUUCUUUUCUGGUAUGGCAAUGGCCAGCCUUUAGAGAGGUCAUUUGAAGUUGGCCAACAAGUAGACAUUAUUUCAAAAUAGUUCUUGAUCAUUAAAGAACCAACCAGUAUGUCUUAAAAACAAACAAACCAAUCUUUUGGAAAGUUUCUGCUGAAUGUGUGCCCUUCCGACUCACUUCUUAUCCUUUCUGUCAGAAACACCCCAGAAAAGGGGGUCUUGCCUUUGAACCACUCUGCUACUUUAAUCUUCCUGCUUCUGUCUGACCUACCUUCCUUCUUUCAGUAGCCAGGAUCCUUUCAGAGUGAGCUCCAAAAGGUGGGGAUUCUCCAGCCACGAGUGCCCUCUGAAAUUCUAUCUUACUUAGAAUAAAAUAUCUAGAUUUAUACAGUGUCCCCUUGUAUGGGUGGUGGCUUUUUUUUUUUUUCUAUCAUUUUCCUGCUUGUUCACACCACUCUCUCCCUGGCCUUCUUAUGUCACAGAUUUCCUGAGUACACUCUGGCCUCAGUCUUUCCAUGAAGUAACUCUCCUUUCUAGAACAUUCUUGCCUGCAUAACUAUCUGCUUCUGUCCUCACUGUAUUCUGAUCUGUAUUUCUAUGUCAAUUUCCAGACAGGCAUUCUCUGCCCAUCCUCUAAAGUGUGCCCCCUGUCUUCUUUGCUGUUACCUGUAUGCCCUAAGUCUAAGUCACUGACCUUAUUGUAGACUAAAUUUGUUAGCAUUUCUUUCCAGGAUGCAAGCCUAGUGAUGAAGGAGUCAUUGUUCCAUUGUCAGAAUAGCUACAGAAUCCAGCCUGUUCUGCCCUGGAUGCUUUAUUAAGUAAUGAAGCUCAAUAAAACAAUUUGACCAAGUUUUAAGCGUGAUUUUUUUUAGAACCUUUGAAAUGGGCCUUGAGACGACUUCUUGAAGAGUUCUGGAUAUGCUCUCAACACAAGGACCAGAGAUGAAGAAAUGUUUGGAAAUGAGUACAUUGGUGAUGCUGUGGAGGUGAUUGAAUGAACCUUGCACUCAUUAUCUUUGAGCAGUCUUAGUCUAAGCAGCAUUCUCUUCUAUGGGGGUUUAUGGACAGAAUGGCUUGGCAUUUAUGGGCUUUCUAUUGGAACACAGGAGUUCUGUCUUUUCCUUGAAAUAUGUGCAGACUGGUGACUGUUGUAUGCAGCUCCUGCCUUGUGUUCUUGGAGUAGAAGCACCAGGAGAACAUGGUGAGGGUGAUGCUGAAGAGCCACUCUUAACCUAGCUAUGGCCUUGGAUUAGCUCCCUGCCAGCGAUGGUCAUCUUGACUAUUUAGGCCUUUGGCAUUUCUGUAUGACCACAAUCUAAGUGACAUGUGAGUACCAGGGCAUGGGAAAUCCCCAGUGAGAACCACCCCACCAAGUCCUUCCCAGAUUCCUGACCAAAAUCAUGACAAGCAGUACGAAAUGACUGGUGUUUUAAAACACCAAGUUCUGCCAUAAUUUGUACUCGGCAAUGAAAUGCAGUCCCCACUGUAAUUCUCCUGCACACUAGGCAACUGGGC